CUAAAUGGACUCAUGGCGGACGGGUGAGUAACGCGUAAAGAACUUGCCCUUUAGACUGGGAUAACAGAGGGAAACUUCUGAUAAUACUGGAUAAGUUAGUAUAUCGCAUGAUAUGCAAAUGAAAGCUACGGCACUAAAGGAGAGCUUUGCGUCCUAUUAGCUAGUUGGUAAGGUAAGAGCUUACCAAGGCGAUGAUAGGUAGCCGGCCUGAGAGGGUGGACGGCCACAAGGGGACUGAGAUACGGCCCUUACUCCUACGGGAGGCAGCAGUGGGGAAUAUUGGACAAUGGAGGGAACUCUGAUCCAGCAAUUCUGUGUGUGUGAAGAAGGUUUUAGGACUGUAAAACACUUUUAGUAGGGAAGAAAAAAAUGACGGUACCUACAGAAGAAGCAACGGCUAAAUACGUGCCAGCAGCCGCGGUAAUACGUAUGUUGCGAGCGUUAUCCGGAAUUAUUGGGCUUAAAGGGCAUCUAGGCGGUAAGACAAGUUGAAGGUGAAAACCUGUGGCUCAACCAUAGGCUUGCCUACAAAACUGUUGAACUAGAGUACUGGAAAGGUGGGUGGAACUACACGAGUAGAGGUGAAAUUCGUAGAUAUGUGUAGGAAUGCCGAUGAUGAAGAUAACUCACUGGACAGAAACUGACGCUGAAGUGCGAAAGCUAGGGGA
rnacentral:rRNA from 1 species